CUAUAUCCAUUGCGGACUUUGUCAAAAUUGUGGACUUCUUCCGAAUGCAACGAGCGGAUUUAAGUGCUCAGCCGAUGAUUUAGAGGCAGUGUCAACUGACACAUCAGCGCCUCAUCAAAGUGGGUUGGGGAGUUGUACACCCGACGAUUUCAGGAUAAAAAAUUUGAAAACCUUUUGCUGCUUGUGGUCGCAGAAAUCAGGCUGCCAAAUGGUUGUUGGUCCUCAAUGGUCUGAUACUGAUAAGAGAGCUCUACGUAGAUGUGACUUGUGUCUGCACUACUGUCCGUGCGCGGCUCCAACUGUAGUUGCCCGGAGAUUUGCAGUUUUUGUCUGUAUGGCGUUGAUUACGAUAUGGAACUUCUGAUCAAAUAGCUAGCUUUUAGAUGGAGGUAUUAAAUUUUUUUUCAAGUGUAAUACACACGCUCCCUUAUUAA